rnacentral:rRNA from 1 species
UAAUACGUAGGGGGCGAGCGUUGUCCGGAAUCAUUGGGCGUAAAGAGCACGUAGGCGGCCUGUCAGGUCGGAUGUGAAAACCCGCGGCUCAACUGCGGGAUUGCAUUCGAAACCGGCAGGCUAGAGUCCAGUAGAGGAAAGUGGAAUUCCCAGUGUAGCGGUGAAAUGCGCAGAUAUUGGGAAGAACACCGGCGGCGAAGGCGGCUUUCUGGGCUGUGACUGACGCUGAGGUGCGAAAGCUAGGGGAGCGAACAGG